GAUAGCACACGUACGUCGCGGAGAUGUCUGCGCGAUGUCUUCUUUUUCGUCUGGAAGACGUAUUAUAUAGGGCGUUUGCUCAUCUGGAAGGCGUCGCCGAGACGUCCGACCCAGCUGUUUGCAAGACACCCAGCAGAUCUUUACAAGAUGUAUGUUAUUUAGAACGAUGGCGAGCCGCCGUUUCCCAGAUCUUUACAAGAUGUUAGAACGGCAAGCCGCUCUUUCAUAGAUCUUUAGAAGAGCUUUAAAAGAUGCGGAGCCGCUCUUUUCCAGAUAUUUAGAAGAGCUUUAAAAGAUGCCGAGCCGCUCUUUCCCAGAUCUUUAGAAGAGCUUAGAAAGACGGUAAGCCGCUCUUUCCCAGAUGUUUGUAAGAUUACAAGAUCCCUCAUUAACAAAUUGAAUUGCCCUAAACUACAGCAAAUUAUUUCUACACACAUCUACACAUACAUGCUGUGUCAUCGAUAUUAAGUAAUUAAAACACCAUUUUCAAUUGAUCUUAAAGCAGUUAUUGAUUUUAUAAAACACAUUUAUUCAAAUUAAACAAUGAAAACUUUCAUUCAUUUAUCUUUAAAGAUAUUUUUUACAUGACAGUAUCCGAAAACAACAACAUAUAAACAUAACAUAUUUAAAAUAAUCAAAACCUUUCCGCGUCUGCUUUAUUAAUCUCCAUUCUAAAAUAAAACAUUUCAAAAAAUUACCAGGAAAUAAUCGUGAAAGGCUGUUCUUUCUAUAUAGCUUUAAUUAGGAUCUAGAAGAUAAAAUUACCCGAAAGUGUUGUCAUUGUUAAAUAAAUUACGGAUGUGCGUCUUUACGUCAAGGUCGUGAUUCUUCAUAACAACAUCCGCUUGACCUCGCAAUGCCAUGAAGAAGAAAGGCGUGGAACAUUUGCUUAAGAUCUUCAGCAGAUGUUUGAGAAAAAAAAUCAUCAUCCUCUUCGUCACUCUUCAUCCGUAUUUGGGGUAACAAACACCUGCUUCCCACAAGAGACUGGACCUCUGAAGUCAGAUAAUUUUACUGGUACAAUGUUGGAUGGAUCAUCAGACCUGCACCUUCCUUGAACAUGUUGGUAACUUACUCUGUAUUUGUUCACGGUGGUCACCCCAGGGUUUCAGGACUCAAAACGAGUGCUCUAUGGAUUGAACAGAAAAUGUGGAUCAACACUCCAACCAUCUGCAUUAGGGACUGAAUAAAGGAUGCCCUCUGUAGCUGGGAAUGUUAGAUCAGGCGGAUCAACAUUCCAUCAAUCUGCAUUAGGGUCUACCUUAGAGACACUCACUGGAGCUGUAAAUGGAAGCAGGUCACUUACUUUGCAUUCGUCCUUGGUGGUCACCCCAGGGUCUCUAGAGUGAAAAUUACUCAAUCUAUGGAUUAAACAGAAAAUUUAGUUUUAUGAAGUGCAAUUUGGGACAUUCUUCCAGUUGUCGGCAACUUUGUGAAAAAGGCUGGAAACUAAAAUGCAGAAUUCUGGCCUGGUGUUUGGUCUGUGCUGUCUUUGACUCUUGCAUCUCCAUCAUCCUGACCCUCUUUAGCAGCCUGUCCAUGUAUUUAUUCGGAGGCCACCAUGAGCACCCAUCUGCAUAAUAUGACUUUGUUA